rnacentral:rRNA from 1 species
AAUGGGUCAGCGACUUAUAUUCUGUAGCAAGGUUAACCGAAUAGGGGAGCCGAAGGGAAACCGAGUCUUAACUGGGCGUUAAGUUGCAGGGUAUAGACCCGAAACCCGGUGAUCUAGCCAUGGGCAGGUUGAAGGUUGGGUAACACUAACUGGAGGACCGAACCGACUAAUGUUGAAAAAUUAGCGGAUGACUUGUGGCUGGGGGUGAAAGGCCAAUCAAACCGGGAGAUAGCUGGUUCUCCCCGAAAGCUAUUUAGGUAGCGCCUCGUGAAUUCAUCUCCGGGGGUAGAGCACUGUUUCGGCAAGGGGGUCAUCCCGACUUACCAACCCGAUGCAAACUGCGAAUACCGGAGAAUGUUAUCACGGGAGACACACGGCGGGUGCUAACGUCCGUCGUGAAGAGGGAAACAACCCAGACCGCCAGCUAAGGUCCCAAAGUCAUGGUUAAGUGGGAAACGAUGUGGGAAGGCCCAGACAGCCAGGAUGUUGGCUUAGAAGCAGCCAUCAUUUAAAGAAAGCGUAAUAGCUCACUGGUCGAGUCGGCCUGCGCGGAAGAUGUAACGGGGCUAAACCAUGCACCGAAGCUGCGGCAGCGACACUAUGUGUUGUUGGGUAGGGGAGCGUUCUGUAAGCCUGCGAAGGUGUGCUGUGAGGCAUGCUGGAGGUAUCAGAAGUGCGAAUGCUGACAUAAGUAACGAUAAAGCGGGUGAAAAGCCCGCUCGCCGGAAGACCAAGGGUUCCUGUCCAACGUUAAUCGGGGCAGGGUGAGUCGACCCCUAAGGCGAGGCCGAAAGGCGUAGUCGAUGGGAAACAGGUUAAUAUUCCUGUACUUGGUGUUACUGCGAAGGGGGGACGGAGAAGGCUAUGUUGGCCGGGCGACGGUUGUCCCGGUUUAAGCGUGUAGGCUGGUUUUCCAGGCAAAUCCGGAAAAUCAAGGCUGAGGCGUGAUGACGAGGCACUACGGUGCUGAAGCAACAAAUGCCCUGCUUCCAGGAAAAGCCUCUAAGCAUCAGGUAACAUCAAAUCGUACCCCAAACCGACACAGGUGGUCAGGUAGAGAAUACCAAGGCGCUUGAGAGAACUCGGGUGAAGGAACUAGGCAAAAUGGUGCCGUAACUUCGGGAGAAGG